UACGGAGGGAGCUAGCGUUGUUCGGAAUUACUGGGCGUAAAGCGCACGUAGGCGGCUUUGUAAGUUAGAGGUGAAAGCCCCGGGGCUCAACUCCGGAACUGCCUUUAAGACUGCAUCGCUUGAAUCCAGGAGAGGUGAGUGGAAUUCCGAGUGUAGAGGUGAAAUUCGUAGAUAUUCGGAAGGAACACCAGUGGCGAAGGACGGCUGCACUGGAGCUGGUAUUGACGCUGAGG
rnacentral:rRNA from 1 species